AUUUGAGUAGUUUAUAAAAAAAUAUUGAUUUGUGGUGUCAAUGAAGUAGAUUAUACCUCAGAUC
rnacentral:tRNA from 1 species